rnacentral:rRNA from 1 species
AGGUGCUGCAUGGUUGUCGUCAGCUCGUGCCGUGAGGUGUCGGGUUAAGUCCCAUAACGAGCGCAACCCCACCUUUAGUUGCCAUCAGGUUAAGCUGGGGACUCUAAAGGAACUGCCUACGCAAGUAGUGAGGAAGGCGGGGAUGACGUCAAAUCAGCACGGCCCUUACGUCCAGGGCUACACACGUGCUACAAUGGCCGAUACAGAGGGCAGCUACCUGGUGACAGGAUGCAAAUCUCCAAAGUCGGUCUCAGUUCGGAUCGGAGUCUGCAACCCGACUCCGUGAAGUUGGAUUCGCUAGUAAUCGCGCAUCAGCCAUGGCGCGGUGAAUACGUUCCCGGGCCUU